rnacentral:rRNA from 1 species
AUUGAACGCUGGCGGCAGGCCUAACACAUGCAAGUCGAACGAGUGGCGGACGGGUGAGUAAUGUCUGGGAAACUGCCUGAUGGAGGGGGAUAACUACUGGAAACGGUAGCUAAUACCGCAUACCAUCAGAUGUGCCCAGAUGGGAUUAGCUAGUUGGUGGGGUAACGGCUCACCAAGGCGACGAUGCCUCGCUGGGCUGAGAGGAUGACCAGCCACAAGGUAACUGAGCAAGUGUCCAGACUCCGCCGGGAGGCAGCAGUGGGGAAGAUUGCACAAGGGGCGCAAGCCUGAGGCAGCCAUGCCGCGUGUAUGAAGAAGGCCUUCGGGUUGUAAAGUACUUUCAGCGGGGAGGCGUUACCCGCAGAAGAAGCACCGGCUAACUCCGUGACAGCCGCCGCGGUAAUUC